rnacentral:rRNA from 1 species
GAUGAACGCUAGCUACAGGCUUAACACAUGCAAGUCGAGGGGAAACGGCAUUAAGUGCUUGCACUUUUUGGACGUCGACCGGCGCACGGGUGAGUAACGCGUAUCCAACCUUCCCAUGACUAAGGGAUAACCUGCCGAAAGGCAGACUAAUACCUUAUGGUCUUCACUGACGGCAUCAGAUGUGAAGUAAAGAUUUAUCGGUUAUGGAUGGGGAUGCGUCUGAUUAGCUUGUUGGCGGGGUAACGGCCCACCAAGGCAACGAUCAGUAGGGGUUCUGAGAGGAAGGUCCCCCACAUUGGAACUGGGACACGGUCCAAACUCCUACGGGAGGCAGCAGUGAGGAAUAUGGGUCAGUGGGCGAGAGCCUGAACCAGCCAAGUAGCGUGCAGGAUGACGGCCCUAUGGGUUGUAAACUGCUUUUGGAUGGGGAUAGAGUCAAUCACGUGUGAUUGUUUGCAGGUACCAUACGAAUAAGGACCGGCUAAUUCCGUG